rnacentral:rRNA from 1 species
ACGCACGCUGGCGGCGUGCUUCAUACAUGCAAGUCGAACGAGAAGCUGACUUCGGUCAGUGGAAAGUGGCGGACGGGUGAGUAAUAUGUAGGAAAUCUGCCUUUAGGAGGGGGACAACAGAGGGAAACUUCUGCUAAUACCCCAUAUGAGCGUAGCUGAAAUGCUAUUCUUGAAAACUCCGGUGCCUAAAGAUGAGCCUGCAUCUGAUUAGCUAGUUGGUAGUGUAAUGGACUACCAAGGCGACGAUCAGUAGCUGGUUUGAGAGGAUGAUCAGCCACAAUGGGACUGAGACACGGCCCAUACUCCUACGGGAGGCAGCAGUAGGGAAUUUUGCGCAAUGGGCGAAAGCCUGACGCAGCGACGCCGCGUGAACGAUUAAGCCCUUCGGGGUGUAAAGUUCUGUCAGUGGGGACGAAACUUGACGGUACCCACAGAGGAAGCACCGGCUAACUCCGUG